rnacentral:rRNA from 1 species
UGGGAAUAUUGCGCAAUGGGGGGAACCCUGACGCAGCCAUGCCGCGUGAAUGAAGAAGGCCUUCGGGUUGUAAAGUUCUUUCGGUAUUGAGGAAGGUUGAUGUGAUAAUAGCACAUCAAAUUGACGUUAAAUACAGAAGAAGCACCGGCUAACUCCGUGCCAGCAGCCGCGGUAAUACGGAGGGUGCGAGCGUUAAUCGGAAUAACUGGGCGUAAAGGGCACGCAGGCGGUUAUUUAAGUGAGGUGUGAAAGCCCUGGGCUUAACCUGGGAAUUGCAUUUCAGACUGGGUAACUAGAGUACUUUAGGGAGGGGUAGAAUUCCACGUGUAGCGGUGAAAUGCGUAGAGAUGUGGAGGAAUACCGAAGGCGAAGGCAGCCCCUUGGGAAUGUACUGACGCUCAUGUGCGAAAGCGUGGGGAGCAAACAAGAUUAGAUACCCUGGUAGUCCACGCUGUAAACGCUGUCGAUUUGGGGGUUGGGGUUUAACUCUGGCGCCCGUAGCUAACGUGAUAAAUCGACCGCCUGGGGAGUACGGCCGCAAGGUUA